ensembl:lncRNA
GUUCAAUCAAAACGCUGGAGAGAUCCUGUCACAGUUAACAAAACAAAGGUUGAACAGCAGCCAUCCUCCUCUGUGUCUAAGAGACCUGUAAUAGAUCCUGAAAAGGAAUGUCCUAUGCACAAGAAACCUCAUUCCCUCAGGAAGUGCAGGGGUUUCAGGGAAAAGCCACUUGAGGAACGUAUGACUUUCCUGAAGGAGCACUUUGUAUGUUUCAAAUGCUGUGCUUCCACUGCACAUCAGGCAAAAGAGUGCAAAGCAGUCAUUCACUGUUCAGAGUGUGAUAGCAAUCGUCAUGUUUCUGCUCUCCACGCAGGCCCUGCACCUUGGGUCAAUAAGGAAUCUGACACACCUCCUGUAGACCAUGGUGGGGAGCAUCAUGAGCAUGAUUCAGCUAUUCUAACUUCUACAUGCACAGAAGUCUGUGGACAGGGGUUCCAAGGCAAAUCUUGUUCUAAAAUAUGCCUAGUGCAUGUUUAUCCAGAAGGGCAUCCAGAAAAGAAGGUCAAGAUGUAUGUCAUAUUGGAUGAUCAGAGCAAUGUAUCAUUGGCAAGGUCUGCAUUCUUUGACAUUUUCAAUGUACACAGCAACAGUUUCCCCUAUGCUCUCAAAACGUGCUCUGGCACAGUAGACACAGCUGGGAGGCGCGCUGUGGGCUUCAUGGUAGAGUCAGCUGACGGGAAUGUUCACCUGCGACUUCCUACCCUCAUUGAGUGCAACCAAAUUCCAAAUAACAGAGAGGAAAUUCCUACACCAGAAGCUGCACACAGCCACCCUCAUCUCAGGGAGAUUUCCAAUAAGAUUCCACCUCUCGACCCUUCUGCUGAAAUUCUUCUAUUACUGGGGCGAGACAUCAUCCGCGUGCACAAAGUUCGAAGCCAACGUAACGGGAAACAUAAUGCUCCCUAUGCCCAGCACCUGGAUUUAGGAUGGGUCAUUAUCGGUGAUGUCUGCUUAGGUGGUGCUCAUAGACCUAUUGUGAAUGUCUUCAAAACUAACAUCUUGGAGAAUGGACGUCACAGCUAUCUUACUCCGUGUGAGAACAGCAUCUCUGUGAAAGAGAAAUUGGCACAUGAGCAGCAGACAUGCCCCAAAGUCUUGCCUAC